rnacentral:rRNA from 1 species
GAUGAACGCUGGCGGCGUGCCUAAUACAUGCAAGUCGAGCGAACGGACGAGAAGCUUGCUUCUCUGAUGUUAGCGGCGGACGGGUGAGUAACACGUGGAUAACCUACCUAUAAGACUGGGAUAACUUCGGGAAACCGUAGCUAAUACCGGAUAAUAUUUUGAACCGCAUGGUUCAAAAGUGAAAGACGGUCUUGCUGUCACUUAUAGAUGGAUCCGCGCUGCAUUAGCUAGUUGGUAAGGUAACGGCUUACCAAGGCAACGAUGCAUAGCCGACCUGGGAGGGCGGGUGGCCCGACUGGAACGGAGACACGGUCCAGACGCCUACGGGAGGCAGCAGGAGGGAAUCGUGCGGCAUGGGCGGAAGCCUGACGGAGAAACGCCGCGUGAGUGAUGAAGGUCUUCGGAUCGGAAAACUCUGUUAUUAGGGAAGAACAUAUGUGUAAGUAACUGUGCACAUCUUGACGGUACCUAAUCAGAAAGCCACGGCUAACUACGUG